rnacentral:rRNA from 1 species
CGGGAUAACCCGGAGAAAUCCGGCCUAAUACCGCAUGUGGCCGAGGGGAGGCAUCUUCUUUCGGCCAAAGGAGGCGACUCCGGAGACGGAUGGGCAUGCGUGACAUUAGCUUGUUGGCGGGGUAACGGCCCACCAAGGCGACGAUGUCUAGGGGUUCUGAGAGGAAGGUCCCCCACACUGGUACUGAGACACGGACCAGACUCCUACGGGAGGCAGCAGUGAGGAAUAUUGGUCAAUGGGCGAGAGCCUGAACCAGCCAAGUCGCGUGAAGGACGACGGCCCUAUGGGUUGUAAACUUCUUUUGUCAGGGAGCAAUUGGGUCCACGCGUGGGCUUAGCGAGAGUACCUGAAGAAAAAGCAUCGGCUAACUCCGUGCCAGCAGCCGCGGUAAUACGGAGGAUGCGAGCGUUAUCCGGAUUUAUUGGGUUUAAAGGGUGCGUAGGCGGAAUAUCAAGUCAGCGGUAAAAAUUCGGGGCUCAACCCCGUCGUGCCGUUGAAACUGAUGUUCUUGAGUGGGCGAGAAGUAUGCGGAAUGCGUGGUGUAGCGGUGAAAUGCAUAGAUAUCACGCAGAACUCCGAUUGCGAAGGCAGCAUACCGGCGCCCAACUGACGCUGAAGCACGAAAGCGUGGGUAUCGAACAGGAUUAGAUACCCUGGUAGUCCACGCAGUAAACGAUGAA